CUUAGAGUUUGAUCCUGGCUCAGAUUGAACGCUGGCGGCAGGCCUAACACAUGCAAGUCGAGCGGAUGAUGGGAGCUUGCUCCCGGAUUCAGCGGCGGACGGGUGAGUAAUGCCUAGGAAUCUGCCUGGUAGUGGGGGACAACGUUUCGAAAGGAACGCUAAUACCGCAUACGUCCUACGGGAGAAAGCAGGGGACCUUCGGGCCUUGCGCUAUCAGAUGAGCCUAGGUCGGAUUAGCUAGUUGGUGGGGUAAAGGCCUACCAAGGCGACGAUCCGUAACUGGUCUGAGAGGAUGAUCAGUCACACUGGGACUGAGACACGGUCCAGACUCCUACGGGAGGCAGCAGUGGGGAAUAUUGGACAAUGGGCGAAAGCCUGAUCCAGCCAUGCCGCGUGUGUGAAGAAGGUCUUCGGAUUGUAAAGCACUUUAAGUUGGGAGGAAGGGCAGUAAGUUAAUA
rnacentral:rRNA from 1 species